CAGCAGCCGCGGUAAUACGUAGGGUGCAAGCGUUAAUCGGAAUUACUGGGCGUAAAGCGUGCGCAGGCGGUUAUAUAAGACAGAUGUGAAAUCCCCGGGCUCAACCUGGGAACUGCAUUUGUGACUGUAUAGCUAGAGUACGGCAGAGGGGGAUGGAAUUCCGCGUGUAGCAGUGAAAUGCGUAGAUAUGCGGAGGAACACCGAUGGCGAAGGCAAUCCCCUGGGCCUGUACUGACGCUCAUGCACGAAAGCGUGGGGAGCAAACAGGAUUAGAUACCCCGGUAGUCCCUGUCUCUUAUCU
rnacentral:rRNA from 1 species